CAGAGCGCUCCGCAAUUAGAUUAACUGGCAAUUGUUGUUCCUCCUUGUGCAGCCUCAGAACCCUGCGAGGAAGGGAAUGGCCACUCGAUGAAAACACAGCAUUUGGAAAGGUUAGCGUGGACAGUGAGACCUGCCCAAUCAGGCAAGGUGUGUUGUUUCUGUUGUUUUAUCAUCAUGAAUCAAACUUGGAAAAGACCAAACUGAGGAAGAACACACAUCAAUUGAUAGAGCUAUGGCUGUAACAAGAAACAAAAAAAGUGAGAGAUGCCUUUAGUUUCCUGCUUUAUAUUUCAGGUGUGUAUUUGCAGCUAAUUAAAGCCCAUCCCCUGGGCUGCAGCUGGUGGCUUUACAAAUGGAAGGAAAGUGCCUGCAGCAUAGUAGCUAGUGUAAUGUCUGUUUGAAUUUGGAAAUGUUUAACCUACCUCAAUAGUAGAUGAAGUGUUUUAUAGCGUGUGGUCCACGGGAACACUUAAAAUGAAUUUCUGCAUGCUGGAAUGCUCUUUCAGUGCAUUGAAAGAGGUGAAGGUGGUGAUUAAAGCAAAUUGGAAAGCCCUGGGCACUCUUAUUGCUUCAGCCUCAGGGCUGUGCAGAUGACUUCUUUGCUUCUCAGCAACCAGGUACAGGGUCCUGAUGCUCAUUUGCCAGUAACUUUUGGUGAUUCCUAUAUGACUACAAGCUAAUGACUGAAGAUUCUUUUAAGUAACAAUACGUGGAAACAACGAUUUCUAAUGAAAACCGUCAGUAUUCAAAAUAGGCGAAGCCUCUUGUUCUAUUCAUGUUCCAUGUGAAACUUGAAGUCCCAUUGAAGGCUGCAGUGGUGCAAAAAGCUCUUCCUCUGUGGAAAAUUCAGAUCAGAAAGAAUCCGAGAAAAAUACUUGAGGAAAGCUUCUUGCUCUGAAAAUAUGUGCAUCUUGAAAAAGCAAAUAUGAUGACGUACUGUCCUGUAUCCCAGCGUACACAAGCAAAUGCGUGGACAGGUUGUUCUGAUACGGAGAAAACACUCCUGUUCUACUGAGGCAGAUAACAACCAGCACAGCAAGGUAAAGGGAGUUCUAUGCUCCUCUUUAAGACCGUGUGGGAGUGCUGUUUUCCAUGAACAUUCUUGUUCUUUCCCAGUCACCUUUGUGAAACACAAAGCCUAGGAGCCCUAGUUCUCCUUAGAGGCAGAUGGCUACUCAGCUACUGAAGUCAACAGCAUAAACUUGAUAUUUACCUUUCACAGUGAAAUACUUCUUUCACUUUCUCUUGUGAUUAGCAGGGAAAGUGUUUUUUUUUGUUUGUUUGUUUUAAUUAAUAAUAUUUGGUGUGUUUUACUGAACACUGUAUUGCAUAUAUUUUUAGAACUUAA